UACGUAGGGUGCAAGCGUUGUCCGGAAUUAUUGGGCGUAAAGAGCUCGUAGGUGGCCUGUCGCGUCGGCUGUGAAAACUCGGGGCUUAACUCCGGGCCUGCAGUGGGUACGGGCAGACUAGAGUGCGGUAGGGGAGACUGGAAUUCCGUGGUGUAGCGGUGAAAUGCGCAGAUAUCAGGAGGAACACCGGUGGCGAAGGCGGGUCUCUGGGCCGUAACUGACGCUGAGGAGCGAAAGCGUGGGGAGCGAACAGG
rnacentral:rRNA from 1 species